AGCGAACGCUGGCGGCAGGCCUAACACAUGCAAGUCGAACGAACUCUUCGGAGUUAGUGGCGGACGGGUGAGUAACACGUGGGAACGUGCCUUUUGGUUCGGAAUAACUCAGGGAAUCUUGUGCUAAUACCGAAUGUGCCCUUCGGGGGAAAGAUUUAUCGCCAUUAGAGCGGCCCGCGUCUGAUUAGCUAGUUGGUGAGGUAACGGCUCACCAAGGCGACGAUCAGUAGCUGGUCUGAGAGGAUGACCAGCCACACUGGGACUGAGACACGGCCCAGACUCCUACGGGAGGCAGCAGUGGGGAAUCUUGCGCAAUGGGCGAAAGCCUGACGCAGCCAUGCCGCGUGAAUGAUGAAGGUCUUAGGAUUGUAAAAUUCUUUCACCGGGGACGAUAAUGACGGUACCCGGAGAAGAAGCCCCGGCUAACUUCGUG
rnacentral:rRNA from 1 species